CGGAUCUGGGAGAGCUUGGAGCAGGCUAACAGAGUAACAUUCUGGGGCUGAAAAGCUGGGAGAGUGACCUUGAUCUACA
rfam:Procavia capensis cont1.58782, whole genome shotgun sequence.